rnacentral:rRNA from 1 species
GGCGGCUUAUUAACUAAAUAGAAAAACAUGUUUUUUAAUGGAUAAUACACAAAUAUCUUAUCUAAUAUAGUAUAAACAUUUGGUACACCGCCGUCGGAAGAACAGUUUUAAAGAAUUGUUCUAUGUCCCUGUAAGGAAUUAAGUCAGGUCAAAGCGCCGAUUAUUGUUAGGUUAAAAUGUGUUUCAUUAUUAUUAUUAUGUCUUUAAAUUUCAUUUUUGGAAUUUGAAACUUAAUUUGAAGUAAAUGAAUCUAUAAGUAAAUUUUGUUCAUAAAACUUAAUUGAAUAGUGCUCUUAUAAGUGU